rnacentral:rRNA from 1 species
UACGGAGGGUGCGAGCGUUGUCCGGAAUCAUUGGGCGUAAAGGGCGCGUAGGUGGCCCGGUGAGUCUUUGGUGAAAGCGCGGGGCUCAACCCUGCGUCGGCCAGGGAUACUGCCGCGGCUCGAGCACUGUAGAGGCAGGCGGAAUUCCGGGUGUAGCGGUGGAAUGCGUAGAGAUCCGGAAGAACACCGGUGGCGAAGGCAGCUCGCUGGGACGGUACUGACGCUAAGGCGCGAAAGCGUGGGGAGCGAACAGG